CAAUCGAUGGGCAAGGCCCGCGCCCAGGCCAACUGCCUCCACUGGCAGUAGGGGCUCCAGCGCGAGCCCUUGUUUGACACAAAGCCCAGCCAUGGGAUGGGAGUGGGAACGGCGUGGAUGGACGCUAGGCCUUAUCUCAAUCACGAACACUGACAGCCCAAAUGUAAGACGUGGGAUGUCUCGCUAACUCGCCGGGCACAGCACGGGGAGAGAACAGACCGCACUCUCUCGCUGUAGGGAGGACUCAGCGCCUGGCUUCUAAUGGACAGAAUGGAGCAGAAGUGCCCUGCAUGACUUUCAGGACCAAGACAGAAAGGGUGACCUGUUUUACACUUGGCUCUCUCAUGCCAGGCGCCUGGAGAAGAAGACUCUUCCAUCCCAAGGCCACCGUGUGGCAGAGCCAGCUGCACAGUGCCUGAAGUCAGCCGGUGGAGGCACUCUCGGGCCCUCACCCAAAGACUCUGAGGCCGUUGCUGUGUUAAGCCAUUGAGUUUUGUGGUCUGUGUUACAGAGCCACAGGUGACCCACAAAGCCUUCUUGUUUGUGCUGGCAUUUAAGAUUGCCUUGCAACCACGCUGUCUCAGUACGGGCUAAGGAAAGCAGAAUAGAGGCAGACUUCACAAAUGCAUGUCAUGCUAGGGAGAAAUGUUUCCAGUAUUUCAAACAGAGACAAGUGAUGGGCAUGAGGCUCGGCACCACCACCCUGGAGUUCUGGGUGGGCUGCGCUCCACAGAGCACCAGAACAUCUUAGUCCCAUCACCAGCCCUGCUCCUAAGACAAGCAGCAGCUACUGAGCUUAAGCAAAGCACCUCGGCAACUUCAUGUAACAACUGCAGUCAAUUUUAAUUUUACUGUUUUGGUUUUGUUGUAUUUUUUCUGAAUCUCUUUGACUUUCAAAAUUAUUUAUAUCUAGCUUUAUGUUACACAUUUGCAUGACAUUAUAAUAAGCCAACACCAGGGAACUGUAAUUAUUUUUUCUUUAAAAUGAGCCUUAACUUUGAGAAUCAAUAUGAGAGCAUCUUCAGAAAAACACAGUAUCAAGUAGAAAUGCUGAGUAUUUUUAUAAGAUCAAAGUUAAAUUGUCACCACCUUAAAGCAUCCUCUUUUAACUAUAAGACGUUCUCUGUGAACAGUAUGAUAGCCACAAAGCAAAAAGCCCACAGUAGACACACAGCAGAAGGGCACUCCUAUCUGCAGCCCGCUGCCAUCUCCCUGUGAGCAGCUGGACGACAGCUGCUCAUGUCCACCCGAACUUCAUCCUGCUGCUGACCUAGGAGGGCCCCGCUGUAAGCCUCCGCAUUGGUGCACCUGAUGUCUGAAACCCACCCUGGCAACUGUGAUGCUUCUGGCCUGGCUCUUUGCCUCCACAUUCACUUAUUCCUCCUAUGUAGGAAUUUGUGCAGUUCCCCUGACCUCCCCAGCUUAAUUUUCUAAGGCCAGACCGAUGUCAAUGUGAACCAAGCUAACCCAGCAAGAGAGGGGCGUGUGGAGACGCCUUGGGUCUGUCUGCUUUUCUCAGCUUGUUUCCCACCCUCUCUACAUCCUGCUGAUUGUCCGCGCUUGGUCUGUUUACCCUAUUUUGGUAAAGCCGGAUUAUCAUCACUGCUGAGAUGCUCCUUUAUUUCAGUUCCGAUACAAAGGGGAGAGGCUGACAAAGUAUAACACAGUGCUUUAUCACUAGAAUUUCUGUGGUGUACUGAUCGAAAGUGCUCUAUUUAAUAAAGAGAGCUUGCUGGGUGUAUGCUUUUAUCCACC
ensembl:lncRNA